CUGAAGUGAUUCUCCAGCUUCAGCCUUACAGACGAGUACCACCAACACCUGGCUAAUUUUUGUGUAUGUGUGUGUGUUUUUUUGUAGAGAUGGAGUUUCGCCAUGUUGCCCAAGCUGGUCUCAAACUCCUGAGCUCAAGGGAUCCAGCCACUUCAGCCUCCCAAAGUGCUGGGAUUACAGGUGUGAGCCACCGCGCCUGGCCUUCUUUGUCCAUUUCUAAUCCUGGGGUCCUAUGACUCCUAGCAUGAAGCUUUCCUCAACAGGCUUCUCAGAUAUGUAUUGACUCCAGCCACAUGAGCUAGAGACUGUUUUCAGAGUCAUCCUGGUCAGUUCUUGACAACCUGGUAGCCACCAGACCACAGAAGGGCAGGUGAACCUGUCUCGAUCCACUUAGAGGUUCUGCAAGGUUCUUGGAGCCUGGCUGGAGGAGCCUCCUCAGCAGCACUGCUGUGUCAAUGUCUAAUAUUAAGGAUAUAGCUUAAACACAGUCUUCUCUCCAACUCCAUCUUGGAGAGGAUCCCUGGAGGUACAGAGAGAAGUAAAGAAGGUAAGCGGGGCACGAGGACAAACAAAGAAUGGAGACAGGAGAGUGAGAGGGCAUGGAGGGAGAGCGAGCUGGGACAUACAGAAAUCUAUCCUAAAAUUCAUUGGAAUCUCAAGGGACCCCCAAAAAUCAAAACAAUCUUGAAAAAGAACAAAGUUGGAGGCCUCACACUUUCUGAUUUCAAAACCCACUGCAAAGUUAAAGUAAUUUUUUAAAAGUGUGGUACUAUCAUAAAGACAGACAUAUAGACCAGUGGACUAGACUAGAUAGCUCAGAAAUAAACCUUUGCACAUAUGGUCAAACAAUUUUUGGUAAGAGUUCCACAACUAUUCAAUAGGGGAAAGAAUGGUCUUUUCAAUAAAUGGUGGUGGAAAAACUGGAUAUUCUCAUGGAAAAGAAAACUAAAGUUGGAUUCUUUUUUUUUUUUUUUUUGAGACAGAAUCUUACUCUGUUGCCCAGGCUGGAGUGUAGUGGCGCAAUGUCAGCUCACUGCAACCUCCGCCUCCCGGGUUCAAGCAAUUCUCUUGCCUCAGCCUCCUGAAUAGUGGGAUUAUAGGCAUGCACCACCACGCUCGGCUAAUUUUUGUAUUUUUAGUAGAGACAGGGUUUCACCACAUUGGCCGGGUUGGUCUCGAACCCCUGACCUCGUGAUCUACCCGCCUCAGUCUCCCAAAGUGCUGGGAUUACAGGCGUAAGCCACCACACCCGGCCUGGAUUCUUACCUUAUAUCAUAUGCAAAGAUUAACUCAAAAUGGAUCUAAGAUCUAUACAUAAAAGCUAAAACUAUAAAACUCCUAAAGGAAAACAUAGGGCAAAACCUCAUGACUUUGGAUUUGUCAAUAAUUUCUUGGAUAUGACACCAAAAGCACAGGGAACCAAAGAAAAAAUAGUUGGAUUCACGGAAAUUAAAAACUUCUGUGCAUCAAAGAACACUAUCAGUAGAGUAAAAAGGCAACCUACAGAACCGGAUGGAAUAUUUAUAAAUCGCAUAUCUGAUAAGUGACCGAUAUCCAGAAUAUAUAAAGAACUCUUCCAACUCAACAAAAACAACCGGAUUUUAAAAUGGGCAAAAAACUUGAAUAUUCUCAAAAGAAGAUAUGCAAAUGGCCAAUAAAAAUAUGGAAAGACAUUAAACAUCACUAAUCAUUAGAGAAAGCAAAUCAAAACCACAACAAAUACCAUUUCAUGCCCAUUGGAAUGCCUACUAUUUAAAAAAUAAGCAUCCCUGACCCUUGUUAUCCUGCAUUGUGGUUAGUAGAUGCACCUGACUUAGCUUACUUCCAAGAAUGCCUGAAGUCUUAUUAGGUCUCCUGAAAUGGUGGUUAGAAAAAUCAAUAAACAAACAAAAACUAUUAUCCACACCAGAUCUCUCCACAGCGCUCAAAAUUAAAAUCAGGUGCUCCUGACUUGUCCCCCUCUUGACUAACCAUGUCAGUUCUCUCUAAAACUAACUGAACUCAAUGACUAGAAAUCUUGGUGAUGCUUUCAAUGUUUUCUUCUUCUAUGCAUGGUGGAGAUUUUGCUCUCUACUGGGUCACUUAAAAUGUCAUGUAUGAAUACUCCAGUAUCUUGUGACAGUUUGAUCAAAAAUAAAUAUGCAGAAUGUAAAAGCACAUUAUCCUAACAGACAGAACCCUCCUCUGUCCUGCAUGAACCACACAUUUCCCAGUUUUUCUCAGUGACUUUUUCACCCCAGAGGAAGCAGAAGAGGCCCUCGACAGCUGGAGCAAUUACAGUUGUGUUUCUUUGUAAUAUGUGACAAGGUAAUCCUUUUUCUUCAGUGGCUUAUUUUGGAUAAAACCAAGUGAAACCAUGGGUGAUGAGGUAAUUCAUUUGUCUGCUG
rnacentral:lncRNA from 1 species